CUUAGCUACUACGACAAGGGCACUUAUCUUGCCUAGAUCCGAGCCAUACUGGAUCUCUUUAUGAAGAUCUAGGAAACGCAAACCAAGGACCCAAAAAUCACAAGAAUCUAGGUAAGUUCACUUCUGACAAAUCCCCUUAUUUCAAGAUCUUAGAGGAUGAACUGUUCAGAUUCCAGAACCGAAUUUGGGUCCUCAUUGCUGUAUGUGUAGAUGUGCUCAAGACCGCCCAUGCUUCCAAAUUAUCCAUUCAUUUUGGGAGAACCAAAAUUUAUCAGGAAUUGAAGCGGCAAUAUUGGUGGUUAGGAAUAA
rnacentral:lncRNA from 1 species